UACGGAGGAUGCGAGCGUUAUCCGGAUUUAUUGGGUUUAAAGGGUGCGUAGGCGGAUCGUUAAGUCAGUGGUCAAAUUGAGGGGCUCAACCCCUUCCCGCCAUUGAAACUGGCGAUCUUGAGUGGAAGAGAAGUAUGCGGAAUGCGUGGUGUAGCGGUGAAAUGCAUAGAUAUCACGCAGAACCCCGAUUGCGAAGGCAGCAUGCCGGCUUCCUACUGACGCUGAAGCACGAAAGCGUAGGGAUCGAACAGG
rnacentral:rRNA from 1 species